rnacentral:rRNA from 1 species
ACGAACGCUGGCGGCGUGCUUCACCCAUGCAAGUCGCACGGAAAGGCCCUGCUUUUGUGGGGUGCUCGCGUGGCGAACGGGUGAGUAACACGUGAGUAACCUGCCCUUGACUUUGGGAUAACUUCAGGAAACUGGGGCUAAUACCGGAUAGGAGCUCCUGCUGCCUGGUGGGGGUUGGAAAGUUUCGGCGGUUGGGGAUGGACUCGCGGCUUAUCAGCUUGUUGGUGGGGUAGUGGCUUACCAAGGCUUUGACGGGUAGCCGGCCUGAGAGGGUGACCGGCCACAUUGGGACUGAGAUACGGCCCAGACUCCUACGGGAGGCAGCAGUGGGGAAUAUUGCACAAUGGGCGGAAGCCUGAUGCAGCAACGCCGCGUGCGGGAUGACGGCCUUCGGGUUGUAAACCGCUUUCGCCUGUGACGAAGCGUGAGUGACGGUAAUGGGUAAAGAAGCACCGGCUAACUACGUG